CAUAGCGACUAUCGUGGCAUAUCAAUAAGCGGAGGAAAAGAAACUAACUAGGAUUCCCUCAGUAACGGCGAGUGAAGCGGGAAGAGCUCAAAUUUGAAAUCUUCAAGGUUCUACCUUGACGAAUUGUAGUUUAAAGAAGUGUUUUCUGUUGGAGUUUUGGUAAAAGUUCUUUGGAAUAGGACAUCAUAGAGGGUGAGAAUCCCGUAUUUGACCAUUAUUUCCAACUUUGUGAUACACUUUCAAAGAGUCGGAUUGUUUGGGAAUGCAGUCCAAAAUGGGUGGUAAAUUUCAUCUAAAGCUAAAUAUUGGCGAGAGACCGAUAGCGAACAAGUACCGUGAGGGAAAGAUGAAAAGAACUUUGAAAAGAGAGUUAAACAGUACGUGAAAUUGUCAAAAGGGAAGCGUUUGACACCAGUGUUGUUUUCUCGAAAAUCAAUUAAAAAUGGCUUGAUUUUGUGUUGUAUUGACUUUAUCAGCUUUCUGCACUUUUUUCAUUAUCUUUUUUAAUGCACUUUUCGUUUAACAAGUCAACAUCAAUUUCUUUUGUUGUAAAAGAGUCAUUGGAAGGUGGCUUUUUCUUCGGAAAAAGUGUUUAUAGCCUUGUGCCUCUGCAAUCGGAGAGAUUGAGGUCUGCAGCGUAGAUCCUUCGGGGUUAGAUACAUUUGUGCUAAGUUAUAGUCUUUCAUAGACAACUUGUUGACUAUAAUUAAUCUUGUAACUUACUCGCUUACUGCUAUUUUACCUACGCUUAGGAUGUUGACGAGACUGUCGAUCUC
rnacentral:rRNA from 1 species